CCCCAGAGCCCCACCCCUCACACCCUUCUUGCCGACUCCAGCCAUCUGCUUCAAGAUGCUCCGGGACAUCAAUAGCUCAGACCCCCUGCACCUGAAGUUCAUCAUCAAGAAGGUCAAGGACAUGGCUCAGGGGUCCCCCUACCUGGUGAUGGAGACCAUCCACGACUACUUCGCAGACAACCCAGAGAUCUCCAACCGGCACAAGUUCCGGCUGUUCCAGGUCCUGAAGAAUGUCAUUGUCGCCAGUGACGUCAUGGAGGACAUCUGGAAGAGGCGCUUCAUGCAGCUGGCCCUGGAGAACAUGACCAAGUCCACGGACCUGCCUGCCCCGGGGGCUCAAAGCACCCGAGUUCUGGAUUUCCACCACGGCGCACCUCGCCCUGGGUCCACGCAAGGUGUGGGCUUGGCUCUCGGCCUCUCCGGCUCCUGGCUUAGCUCUUGGACUUCGAAUCUCUCGUCUGUCUGCUUCCAGCUCCGAGAAUAUGAUUGCUGUUGUCCUUUUUAAAUUCUCCUAAAUGUAGUUUUAAAUGAGGGUUUUUCAGGGCUGGGGAUGUGGCUCAAGCGGUAGCGCGCUCGCCUGGCAUGCGUGCAGCCCGGGUUCGAUCCUCAGCACCACAUACCAACAAAGAUGUUGUGUCCACCGAGAACUAAAAAAUAAAUAUUAAAAUUCUCUCUCUUUUUUUAAAAAAAUGAGGGUUUUUCUUUUUUUAAGCAAAAUCAGAUCCGAUCCAUCCUCUUAAGAAGCCCUCACAACCAUGUGCUUUCAAAGAACUGCAAUGACCUCUCCAUUUCCU
rnacentral:lncRNA from 1 species